rnacentral:rRNA from 1 species
AAUCCGGUUGAUCCUGCCGGACCUGACUGCUAUCGGAUUGAUACUAAGCCAUGCGAGUCAUUGUAGCAAUACAAGGCAUACGGCUCAGUAACGCGUAGUCAACCUACCCUAUGGACGGGAAUAACCUCGGGAAACUGAGAAUAAUGCCCGAUAGAACAUUAUGCCUGGAAUGGUUUAUGUUCCAAAUGAUUUAUCGCCGUAGGAUGGGACUGCGGCCUAUCAGUUUGUUGGUGAGGUAAUGGCCCACCAAGACUAUUACAGGUACGGGCUCUGAGAGGAGUGGCCCGGAGAUGGGUACUGAGACACGGACCCAGGCCCUAUGGGGCGCAGCAGGCGAGAAAACUUUGCAAUGUGCGAAAGCACGACAAGGUUAAUCCGAGUGGUUUGUGCUAAACGAACCUUUUGUCAGUCCUAGAAACACUAACGAAUAAGGGGUGGGCAAGUUCUGGUGUCAGCCGCCGCGGUAAAACCAGCACCUCAAGUGGUCAGGAUGAUUAUUGGGCCUAAAGCAUCCGUAGCCGGCUCUGUAAGUUUUCGGUUAAAUCUGUACGC